GCAGCCGGCCGGUCUGCCGCUGACGCCGCAAGGCGAAAGAGGAAAGUCCGGGCAACGCAGAGCAUCCUACUUCCUAACAGAAAGCUAUCUGCAAAGGUGGAGUAACGUAGAAGAAAACAACCGCCACAAUUCCUACGGGAAACGGGGUAAGGGUGAGAAGGUGGGGUAAGAGCCCACCAGCCGCAUGGUGACAUGACGGGCUGUACGUCUUAGGAGUUGUAAGGUCAUGUAAACCGACAUUAUGAGGGUUGCUCGCCCCACGUCGGAGGGUAGACCGCUAGAG
rnacentral:RNase_P_RNA from 1 species